rnacentral:lncRNA from 1 species
CGCCUUUGAUGCAAAGCAGCUUCCCAAGAGGCACGCUAAUCCCGAGGCUAGUUAUGCAGUUCCCCGCAUGCGAGUGAGUUCCCUGCGUUCGGCGGUUUCCCAGUGACAUACAAAAUGACAUUGAUUGACUGUGUUCAGUUGAACAGGAAACUACGAAAUUACGUAGCUAUUAUGGAAGAAAUCAACAGUUCAGAAAAAAAUGGCCGUGUAAACAUUAACUGGCUUACGAGGUCGACAAACCAACGGUUCAAAGCAUCACAG